rnacentral:lncRNA from 1 species
UCACAAUGCUUGACUGAUGGCAAUAAAACUGUAUUUGGGGUUUGAAUGUCAAAACCUGAAUUGUUUGUGUAAAAUGAUGCAUACAGAAAAUCUUUGCUUAUAGCAGUCAAUUUUGACCCCAGCCAAAACCCCAGAGAACAAAGGUAGAUGUGCAUGACGUAUACUGUAUGAUAUGUAUGACGUAUACUGUAACAUGUUUAUUUUGUUAUGUAAUUUUGUUUGAUAUGUAUGACGUAUACUGUAACAUGUUUAUUUUCACUCCUCUUCCCGAUUUCAUUUAUCUAAGGAACAAUAGUGGAGAAAUGAAGAGGUCAGAGGCAGGACCAAAACAUCUCCCAGACUCUUUGGCUUUGUACUGAACAAAGAUGGAACCACUGCCUUCCCUCAAUACCCCCAUCCCUCUCCUUCCUUUCUUGAGGGACUCACAAUAUUUGAUCAACUUUAUGAUCACUUCCUUGGGCAGAUGAAUAGAUGUCAGGGGGAUGUCAACAGUUGUCUUGGAAAUGAUCUAUGAAUUUCCUCGCUGGUUGGUUGCCUUACUGAUCCACUCAACUGAGGGAACUA